UGGGGAAUAUUGGACAAUGGGCGGAAGCCUGAUCCAGCCAUGCCGCGUGUGUGAAGAAGGCCUUUUGGUUGUAAAGCACUUUAAGCGAGGAGGAGGCUACUUGGAUUAAUACUCUAGGAUAGUGGACGUUACUCGCAGAAUAAGCACCGGCUAACUCUGUGCCAGCAGCCGCGGUAAUACAGAGGGUGCGAGCGUUAAUCGGAUUUACUGGGCGUAAAGCGUGCGUAGGCGGCUUCUUAAGUCGGAUGUGAAAUCCCUGAGCUUAACUUAGGAAUUGCAUUCGAUACUGGGAAGCCAGAGUAUGGGAGAGGAUGGUAGAAUUCCAGGUGUAGCGGUGAAAUGCGUAGAGAUCUGGAGGAAUACCGAUGGCGAAGGCAGCCAUCUGGCCUAAUACUGACGCUGAGGUACGAAAGCAUGGGGAGCAAACAGG
rnacentral:rRNA from 2 species